rnacentral:rRNA from 1 species
UACGGGGGGUGCUAGCGUUAUUCGGAAUCAUUGGGCGUAAAGGGCGCGUAGGCGGUCUCUUAAGUCAGAUGUGAAAGCCCUCGGCUUAACCGAGGAAGUGCAUUUGAUACUAAGUGACUUGAGUAUGGGAGAGGGAAGCGGAAUUCCUGGUGUAGCGGUGAAAUGCGUAGAUAUCAGGAGGAACACCGGUGGCGAAGGCGGCUUCCUGGACCAAUACUGACGCUGAGGCGCGAAGGCGUGGGGAGCAAACAGG